rnacentral:pre_miRNA from 1 species
AGGAGCAACAGCCCUAGUGGUUGCUGCAGCUCUGGAAACCUGGAUUCAGCCCCCACAGGAACUACUCCGUCUGCAGGGCCUGGAGGCUCCGGGGCGGG